UAAGUCUCCUGAAGGAACGUUGAAGACGAUGACGUUGAUAGGCCGGGUGUGUAAGCGCAGCGAUGCGUUGAGCUAACCGGUACUAAUGAACCGUGAGGCUUAACCUUACAACGCCGAAG
rnacentral:rRNA from 3 species